rnacentral:rRNA from 1 species
GACGGAGGAUGCAAGUGUUAUCCGGAAUCACUGGGCGUAAAGCGUCUGUAGGUGGUUUAAUAAGUCAACUGUUAAAUCUUGAGGCUCAACCUCAAAAUCGCAGUCGAAACUAUUAGGCUAGAGUAUAGUAGGGGUAAAGGGAAUUUCCAGUGGAGCGGUGAAAUGCGUAGAAAUUGGAAAGAACACCGAUGGCGAAGGCACUUUACUGGGCUAUUACUAACACUCAGAGACGAAAGCUAGGGUAGCAAAUGGG